rnacentral:rRNA from 1 species
GUACGGUGCGAGCGUUAAUCGGAAUUACUGGGCGUAAAGCGUGCGCAGGCGGUUCGUUAAGUCAGCCGUGAAAGCCCCGGGCUCAACCUGGGAAUGGCGGUUGAAACUGGCGAACUAGAAUCUGGCAGAGGGGGGUGGAAUUCCACGUGUAGCAGUGAAAUGCGUAGAGAUGUGGAGGAACACCGAUGGCGAAGGCAGCCCCCUGGGCUGAGAUUGACGCUCAGGCACGAAAGCGUGGGGAGCAAACAGGAUUAGAUACCCUGGUAGUCCACGCCCUAAACGAUGUCAACUAGGUGUUGGAGGAGCAAUCCUUUGGUACCGCAGCUAACGCGUGAAGUUGACCGCCUGGGGAGUACGGUCGCAAGAUUA